rnacentral:rRNA from 1 species
AUUGAACGCUGGCGGCAUGCCUUACACAUGCAAGUCGAACGGCAGCACGGGUGCUUGCACCUGGUGGCGAGUGGCGAACGGGUGAGUAAUACAUCGGAACGUACCUUAUCGUGGGGGAUAACGCAGCGAAAGCUGUGCUAAUACCGCAUACGCCCUGAGGGGGAAAGCGGGGGAUCGAAAGACCUCGCGCGAUUAGAGCGGCCGAUGCCUGAUUAGCUUGUUGGGGGGGUAAAAGCCCACCAAGGCGACGAUAAGUAGCUGGUCUGAGAGGACGAUCAGCCACACUGGGACUGAGACACGGCCCAGACUCCUACGGGAGGCAGCAGUGGGGAAUUUUGGACAAUGGGGGCAACCCUGAUCCAGCAAUGCCGCGUGAGUGAAGAAGGCCUUCGGGUUGUAAAGCUCUUUUGUCAGGGAAGAAACACCGGCUCUAACACAGUCCGGGAAUGACGGUACCUGAAGAAUAAGCACCGGCUAACUACGUGCCAGCCGCCGCGGUAA